AGGCUGAUGAUGAAUAUGUUAUUGGAAUUACCAUCUGAACAUAAUUUUUAUGUGAAAUUGGCUACCUAAGGCUUCAC
rnacentral:snoRNA from 1 species